AUUGAACGCUGGCGGCAGGCCUAACACAUGCAAGUCGAGCGAGUGGCGGACGGGUGAGGAAUGUCUGGGAAACUGCCUGAUGGAGGGGGAUAACUACUGGAAACGGUAGCUAAUACCGCAUACCAUCGGAUGUGCCCAGAUGGGAUUAGCUUUUUGGUGGGGUAACGUCUCAACAAAGCGACGAUCCCUAGCUGGUCUGAGAGGAUGACCAGCCAUACUGGAACUUGGACACGGUCCAGACCCCUACGGGAGGAAGAAGUGGGGAAUAUUGCACAAUGGGCGCAAGCCUGAUGCAGCCAUGCCGCGUGUAUGAAGAAGGCCUUCGGGUUGUAAAGUACUUUCAGCGGGGAGGCGUUACCCGCAGAAGAAGCACCGGCUAACUCCGUGCCAGCAGCCGCGGUAAUAC
rnacentral:rRNA from 1 species